GGAGAGGUGCCGGAGCGGUCGAACGGGCCUGACUCGAAAUCAGGUGAGGAUUUGCGUCCUCCCAGGGUUCGAAUCCCUGCCUCUCCGCCA
rnacentral:tRNA from 1 species